CACAAGAAAAUAUUAUUGCUACUUUGGCAGUACCUUUUGACCGCGAAAAAUUUCCAAAAAAAAACCUGCAAUGUCCCGCUUUCAAUCCACCUAUUCAUCAGAUUUCAUUUCCCCGGACUGCACUGAGGAUGAUGCUCCGUCGGUAAGUCACCCCGAGAAUCAUUGCCGGAAAUGUGCCCGCCCCUGCCAGUGCAUGCGUAUUGUGGCUGCAGGACCUAGUUCUGGAGGGUCCAGACGGUCAUCUUGCGCUAGUACCACUUCUUGUGUCAGAUCGAUUCAGCAAAUCGACUUUACCGCCGUACCAACGGUUAAAGGUUGCCGCUGCAACUGUCAGUGCUGUGUAACCAUGAAGCCGGAACGUCAACCCGAGUGCAAACCUGUUCCAGCUUGCCCUCCGCCUUCAAAUUUACGCCCAGUAGUUUGCGUAGAGAAAUGUUGUGUUAAAAAACCUAAAGGUGAUCCCUGUUGUGCGCUGCAUCGAAUCCGAACAGCUCAAGCCAUCGCACAAAAUCCGGACUGUUAUCUACCGGUUUCUCACUGCAAACCAAGACCCUGUCCGGUACCUCUGGAGGACUGCAACAGUUGCCUAAUGCGGAACGAUGAUCCUCAAUUGCGGCAUACCAGAAUCCAGCGAGACACUCCGGAAAUCGCACCAGGAGGAUGUGAUGAUGAAGGAGGGGCUUGUUCCCGAAACUCCAGUAGGCUACGCUUUGAUAUGCAUGUCAGUAGCAAUCGAAAUUAAAAGUCUGUCAAGAGAAUUUUUUUCUGUAAACCCAAAAAAUGUACACGAAAAAGUUAAAUAAAAAUGAUAUGUGUAAUACGACCUACAUGAAGUCCUACCAUGGAUACAACCCGUGUUACUGUGGUCCAGUCAGUGUUACGAAACCAAUAAUCUCGGAACAUCGUCGCCGUUACCACCAGCAAAUGGAGACCACCUUCGCGACGGUUCAUGCCGUGUUUGUUAACCGCACCUGUCCGAAACCGAUGGAUCUCUGCUGCCCCAGUACGGAGUAUGGCGAGGGAGUCUGCCUGUCAGGCGAGGCCAUUACCCAGAACUGCGAAACAUCAUGCUACACCUAUUGUUACUGAACGAGAGUUACCAAAUUGUUCGUACAAUAAAUGCCAAUUUGUGAACUUUCCCAAUUUUUCACUAGCUUAAUCACCUUCCGCUGAAUGAAACCGAUCAUUAAAGGCCAAUCGUAAUCGGACACAAAAUCAAUUAAUUAUAUACGCCCCUAACCGCGUUCGAAUCGCUGGGUGAGAGAGAAGCAUCCAUUUUGAAGGGAAGAAACGGCAGCAAAUUUUCGGAUUGAAUUGGUCGCAUCUAAUUGUUGCUAUCUUUGCUGGUACCGUCCACACGGUUUGCUGGUGCCUACAGUGCGUGGAAGUCCCACCACCAGAAGGACCGAUCGAAUCCGAUCGAGAGGGGGCGAGAAGUGAUAGAGCGUUUGCUUUGUUCGAUCGACAACGGUGUACCUACGGCGUUGGGAGCGGAGAAAACUGGCGUGGAAGAAUUUGGUGAUGAGUCGAUCUUCUGCGUUCCAUUUCACUCUGGAUAAUGUAAAGCAACCGGAACCGAUCGAGUGGGGAUGUUAAUCAAAUAUUUAAGUAAGCUUUCUAGUAAAACUGCCUCAAUUGGAGACUAUUGUCACGGUCACGGAUGAUUACGAUGGGAACUAAGCUAGCGGAUCUUAAUGCUUUGAUCAAAUCAGGUGUAACUGAAGCUAAAAUUAGCUCAAUGACAAACAAAGAUCGUUGCAGUUUCCUACGGCGCUCCAGAGUAUCUAAGCCUAGUCGGCAACUAUCAGGAUACGAAGCCAAGUUAUCGGGGUUUCUCCAGGGUUCCACGUGACCUGCUAGGGGCUACAUACAAUGGCAGAAGCAGUCAACGCUACUUCGCAAAUCGAUGCUGAUCGACUAUUUCCGAUUUCACUGAAACUUUGCACGGUAGUCUCUUUUUGAUAAAGAAGU